rnacentral:rRNA from 1 species
GAUGAACGCUAGCGGCAGGCCUAAUACAUGCCAGUCGGACGGGAUCCAUUGAUAGCUUGCUAUCAAUGGUGAGAGUGGCGCACGGGUGCGUAACGCGUGAGCAACCUGCCUCCAUCAGGGGGAUAGCCUCUCGAAAGAGAGAUUAACACCGCAUAAUAUCAACAGUUCGCAUGUUCAGUUGAUUAAAUAUUUAUAGGAUGGAGAUGGGCUCGCGUGACAUUAGCUAGUUGGUAGGGUAACGGCUUACCAAGGCGACGAUGUCUAGGGGCUCUGAGAGGAGAAGCCCCCACACUGGUACUGAGACACGGACCAGACUCCUACGGGAGGCAGCAGUAAGGAAUAUUGGUCAAUGGGCGGAAGCCUGAACCAGCCAUGCCGCGUGCAGGAUGACUGCCCUAUGGGUUGUAAACUGCUGUUGUCCAGGAAUAAACCUAAAUACGAGUAUUUAACUGAAUGUACUGGAAGAAUAAGGAUCGGCUAACUCCGUG